UUCCUGCCUUCAAACCAAUGACUUUGGCCUUAAUUAUUCAUAUAUCAUAUAACCAUUACAAAUUAAUAUUUCAUCUAUUUACUAAUAAUUGCUAGAUCAUCUACAUUCUACAGGCUAUUUUCACAUAAGCAGUCUACCUUCGAGAACAAAGACAACAUAACCUGUUUAUAUGGUAUAAAUAAAAUCAAGUGCUUACAUUCUGAAAUGGAUCCAACCAAAUUACAUUAAUAUGAAAUUCAUCGUCAUGAGCCAAUCAAAUAUACUACUCACGACUCAUAUAAUGUGGGUACUUGAUUGCAUCAUUUCAAGUAAGGAACACAAUACCAUUUUUCAAUCCCAGUAAACUUAAAUUUUUUUUUUCCCCUGCAAUCACGAUAAUGAACCCCUAGUUUUGCAAUUCUUUAGAAAAAUGUACCUCAGUUUCAAGUUUCACGCUCACCCAUCUGCAUUUGAUUCUCCACACCUACGCUAGGAUCGUUUGAAAUCUUCUUCUUUAUGGCUCGCCUACCACAUGUCUUCUAAGUUGAAUGAUGCAGGAUCGUUAUUUGUCUUGUAUAAUCUGUCUACCAUGAUGCACAAAAGGCUCGAUUCACAUUCGUCUUCGUUUUCUAUUAUAGACGACAAUCCUCUUACACUUGAUAUUCCCAAAUACAAACCUAAUUUCUUUGAAACCAAAAUUAUUAGAUAACUCAAUUUGAAGGAAUUUUAAAAUGACGUGAGAUAUUCAAGCACAUGAUUUCAAGAACAUGGUUGCUGGUAAUUGGGAGCCAGACACAGAAAUUCUCAGUUACACCUGAG
rnacentral:lncRNA from 1 species